UGAGUACGAGCUGCUACGGCAGCGAAGUGGGUGACGUCAAGCUUCCAAGAAAAGCCCCAUACCCGUUAAGGCAUGAUGGCCUGUACCCGAAACCGACACAGGUGGGGUGGUAGAGAAUACCGAGGGGCGCGAGAUAACUCUCUCUAAGGAACUCGGCAAAAUGGCCCCGUAACUUCGGGAGAAGGGGUGCCACCGCAAGGUGGUCGCAGUGAAGAGGCCCAGGCGACUGUUUACCAAAAACACAGGUCUCCGCUAAGUCGCAAGACGAUGUAUGGGGGCUGACGCCUGCCCAGUGCCGGAAGGUUAAGGAAGCUGGUCAGCGUAAGCGAAGCUAGCGACUGAAGCCCCGGUGAACGGCGGCCGUAACUAUAACGGUCCUAAGGUAGCGAAAUUCCUUGUCGGGUAAGUUCCGACCCGCACGAAAGGCGUAACGAUCUGGGCGCUGUCUCGGAGAGAGGCUCGGCGAAAUAGUAUUGUCUGUGAAGAUGCGGACUACGUGCACCCGGACAGAAAGACCCUAUGAAGCUUUACUGUAGCUUGGUAUUGUGCUCGGGCUCGGAAUGCGCAGGAUAGGUGGGAGGCUAUGAACCAUUGCUUGUGGGUGAUGGUGAGCCACUGGUGAGAUACACUCUUUCCGAGCUAGAGUUCUAACAGCCACCCGUUAUCCGGGGGCUGGACAGUAUCAGGUGGGCAGUUUGACUGGGGCGGUCGCCUCCUAAAAGGUAACGGAGGCGCGCAAAGGUUUGCUCAGGCUGGUUGGAAAUCAGCCGACGAGUGUAAAAGCAGAAGCAAGCUUGACUGUGAGACCUACAAGUCGAACAGGGAGGAAACUCGGCUUUAGUGAUCCGACGGUUCUGCGUGGAAGGGCCGUCGCUCAACGGAUAAAAGUUACUCUAAGGAUAACAGGCUGAUCUCCCCCAAGAGUUCACAUCGACGGGGAGGUUUGGCACCUCGAUGUCGGCUCAUCGCAACCUGGGGCUGAAGUCGGUCCCAAGGGUUGGGCUGUUCGCCCAUUAAAGCGGUACGCGAGCUGGGUUCAGAACGUCGUGGGACAGUUCGGUCCAUAUCCGGUGCAUGCGCAGGAAUAUUGAGAGGAUUUCUCCCUAGUACGAGAGGACCGGGAGGAACGCACCUCUGGUGUACCAGUUAUCGUGCCAACGGUAAACGCUGGGUAGCCAUGUGCGGAGAGGAUAACCGCUGAAAGCAUCUAAGUGGGAAGCCCACCUCAAGAUGAGUAUUCCCAUGGGUUAACCCAGUAAGGUCACGGGAAGAACACCCGUUGAUAGGCUCUACGUGGAAGCGCAGUAAUGUGUGAAGCGGAGGAGUACUAAUAGACCGAGGGCUUGAC
rnacentral:rRNA from 1 species